UCGGUUCCGGUUCACGUACUCCACUCCAUGGAGCUACGACCCGGCGACC
rfam:Nocardia sp. Root136 contig_2, whole genome shotgun sequence.